rnacentral:rRNA from 4 species
UUAAGGGUGCAGGGCGGAUGCCUUGGCACUAGGAGCCGAUGAAGGACGUGAUAAGCUGCGAUAAGCUUCGGGGAGUUGCACGUAAACUUUGAUCCGAAGAUUUCCGAAUGAGGAAACUCACUUAGAGUAAUGUCUAAGUAUCAUUAAGUGAAUACAUAGCUUAAUGAGGGGAACUCAGGGAACUGAAACAUCUAAGUACCUGAAGGAAGAGAAAGAAAUUCGAUUCCGUAAGUAGCGGCGAGCGAACGCGGAUUAGCCCAAACCAAUAAAGUUUUCUUUAUUGGGGUUGCGGACAUAUCAUAACGAAGAGGUAUCGUAAUUGAAGAGGUUUGGAAAGACCCACCACAGAAGGUAAUAGUCCUGUAUGUUAAACGAGAAGACUUCAGAUAUGAUCCAGAGUACCACGGGACACGUGAAACCCUGUGGGAAGCAGGAGGGACCACCCUCCAAGGCUAAAUACUACCUAGUGACCGAUAGCGUAUAGUACCGUGAGGGAAAGGUGAAAAGAACCCCGGGAGGGGAGUGAAAUAGAACCUGAAACCCUGCACUUACAAGCUGUGGAAGCACAUUUCUUGUGUGACCGCGUACUUUUUGUAGAACGGGCCAACGAGUUACGUUAAGUAGCAAGGUUAAGCACUUAAGGUGCGGAGCCGUAGCGAAAGCGAGUUUUAACUGAGCGUUCAGUUACUUGACGUAGACCCGAAACCGGGCGACCUACCCAUGAGCAGGAUGAAGCGAAAGUAAAAUUUCGUGGAGGUCCGAACCCACGAGCGUUGAAAAGCUCGGGGAUGACUUGUGGGUAGCGGUGAAAUUCCAAUCGAGCCCGGAGAUAGCUGGUUCUCCCCGAAAUAGCUUUAGGGCUAGCCUCAAGGUGAGAGAUACGGAGGUAGAGCACUGAAUGUCCUAGGGGGUAUUGCACCUACCGAAGACUAUCAAACUCCGAAUGCCGUCAUCUUAUACUUGGGAGUCAGACUGUGGGUGAUAAGAUUCAUAGUCGAAAGGGCAACAGCCCAGAUCGUCAGCUAAGGUCCCUAAAUGUAAGUUAAGUGGUAAAGGAUGUGGGAUUGCACAGACAACCAGGAUGUUGGCUUAGAAGCAGCCACUCAUUCAAAGAGUGCGUAAUAGCUCACUGGUCGAGUGAUCCUGCGCCGAAGAUUUCCGGGGCUAAAACUUACUACCGAAGCUACGGCAUCAGUAAUGAUGGGUAGGGGAGCUUCCCAUACGGGUUGAAGCAUGACCGUAAGGACAUGUGGACAGUAUGGGAGUGAGAAUGUUGGCAUGAGUAGCGAGAUGUGGGUGAGAAUCCCACAGGCCGUAAACCCAAGGUUUCCAGGGGAAGGUUCGUCCGCCCUGGGUUAGUCGGAACCUAAGCUGAGGCCGAAAGGCGUAGGUGAUGGACAACAGGUUGAUAUUCCUGUACUACCGAUAACCAUUUGAGAGAAGGGAUGACACAGUAGGAUAAGCUAAGCACACUGUUGGUUAUGUGUGCCCAAGCAUUGAGGCAGUCAAAGUAGGCAAAUCCGCUUUGAUAAUGCUGGGAUGUGAUGGGGAGCGAAAUUUAGUAGCGAAGUAGCUGAUUUCACACUGUCAAGAAAAGUCUCUAUCGAGGUUAAAGGUACCCGUACCGCAAACCGACACAGGUGGGUGAGGAGAGUAUCCUAAGGCCAGCGAGAGAACUGUUGUUAAGGAACUCGGCAAAAUGACCCCGUAACUUAGGGAUAAGGGGUGCCACCAUCAGGUGGCCGCAGAGAAUAGGCCCAAGCGACUGUUUACCAAAAACAUAGGUUUCUGCUAAGUCGCAAGACGAUGUAUAGGAGCUGACGCCUGCCCGGUGCUGGAAGGUUAAGGGGAUCUGUUAGAGCAAUCGAAGCAGUGAACUUAAGCCCCAGUAAACGGCGGCCGUAACUAUAACGGUCCUAAGGUAGCGAAAUUCCUUGUCGGGUAAGUUCCGACCCGCACGAAAGGCGUAACGAUUUGGGCACUGUCUCAACAACAGACUCGGUGAAAUUGUAAUUCCGGUGAAGAUGCCGGAUACCUGCGACAGGACGGAAAGACCCCAUGGAGCUUUACUGUAGCUUGACAUUGGGUCUUGGUACUACAUGUACAGGAUAGGUGGGAGGCUUUGAAACCAGGACGCCAGUUUUGGCGGAGCCAUCCUUGGGAUACCACCCUUGUAGUACUGGGACUCUAACCAUAGGCCAUGAAUCUGGUCUUGGGACACUGUCAGGUGGGCAGUUUGACUGGGGCGGUCGCCUCCCAAAAGGUAACGGAGGCGCUCAAAGGUUCUCUCAGUACGGUCGGAAAUCGUACGUAGAGUGUAAAGGCAAAAGAGAGCUUGAUUGCAAGACAUACAGGUCGAGCAAGGAUGAAAAUCGGACUUAGUGAUCCGGUGGUUCUGCGUGGAAGGGCCAUCGCUCAACGGAUAAAAGCUACCCUGGGGAUAACAGGCUUAUCUCCCCCAAGAGUCCACAUCGACGGGGAGGUUUGGCACCUCGAUGUCGGCUCAUCACAUCCUGGGGCUGUAGUAGGUCCCAAGGGUUGGGCUGUUCGCCCAUUAAAGUGGUACGCGAGCUGGGUUCAGAACGUCGUGAGACAGUUCGGUCCCUAUCCGUCGCAGGCGUAGGAAAUUUGAGAAGACCUGUCCUUAGUACGAGAGGACCGGGAUGGACGUACCUCUGGUGUACCAGUUGUUCUGCCAAGGGCAUGGCUGGGUAGCUAUGUACGGAAUGGAUAAGCGCUGAAAGCAUCUAAGCGCGAAGCCAACUUCAAGAUAAGAUUUCCCACCGCAAGGGUAAGACUCCAGAAAGACUAUCUGGUUGAUAGGUCGAAGGUGUAAGUGCAGCAAUGUAUUUAGCUUAUCGAUACUAAUAGGUCGAGGACUUGACC